rnacentral:rRNA from 1 species
AAGUCGAACGAGAACCCCGGUGCUUGCAUUGGGGGGAAAGUGGCGAACGGGUGAGUAACACGUGGAUAAUCUACCUCCGGGAUGGGGAUAGCCACUCGAAAGGGUGGAUAAUACCGAAUGAGAUGGUAACUCCAUAAGGUGUAGCCAUUAAAGGUGGGGACCUUCGGGCCUACCGCCUGGAGAUGAGUCCGCGGCCCAUUAGCUUGUUGGUAGGGUAAUGGCCUACAAAGGCAACGAUGGGUAGCCGGCCUGAGAGGGUGUACGGCCACAUUGGGACUGAGAUACGGCCCAGACUCCUACGGGAGGCAGCAGUUAAGAAUCUUGCGCAAUGGGCGAAAGCCUGACGCAGCGACGCCGCGUGGACGAUGAAGGUUUUCGGAUUGUAAAGUCCAGUAAGCAGGGACGAAUAAGCAGAGGGUAAUAUUCUCUGUGAUGACGGUACCUGCCUAAAGCCCCGGCUAACUACGUGCCAGCAGCCGCGGUAAUACGUAUGGGGCGAGCGUUGUUCGGAAUUAUU